AUUGAACGCUGGCGGCAGGCCUAACACAUGCAAGUCGAACGAGUGGCGGACGGGUGAGUAAUGUAUGGGAAACUGCCCGAUGGACGGGGAUAACUACUGGAAACGGUAGCUAAUACCGCAUACCAUCGGAUGUGCCCAGAUGGGAUUAGCUAGUAGGUGGGGUAAAGGCUCACCUAGGCGACGAUCCCUAGCUGGUCUGAGAGGAUGACCAGCCACACUGGAACUGAGACACGGUCCAGACUCCUACGGGAGGCAGCAGUGGGGAAUAUUGCGCAAUGGGCGCAAGCCUGAUCCAGCCAUGCCGCGUGUAUGAAGAAGGCCUUCGGGUUGUAAAGUACUUUCAGUGGGGAGGCGUUACCCGCAGAGGAAGCACCGGCUAACUCCGUGCCAGCAGCCGCGGUAAUAC
rnacentral:rRNA from 1 species